UACAGAGGGUGCAAGCGUUGUUCGGAAUUACUGGGCGUAAAGCGCGUGUAGGCUGCGGUGUAAGUCGGACGUGAAAGCCCUUGGCUUAACCAAGGAAGUGCGUCUGAUACUGCGUCGCUUGAGUGUCGGAGGGGGCGGCGGAAUUCCCGGUGUAGAGGUGAAAUUCGUAGAUAUCGGGAGGAACACCUGUGGCGAAGGCGGCCGCCUGGACGAUAACUGACGCUGAGACGCGAAAGCGUGGGUAGCAAACAGG
rnacentral:rRNA from 1 species